GACGAACGCUGGCGGCGUGCCUAAUACAUGCAAGUUGAGCGAUGAAGAUUGGUGCUUGCACCAAUUUGAAGAGCAGCGCACGGGUGAGUAACGCGUGGGGAAUCUGCCUUUGAGCGGGGGACAACAUUUGGAAACGAAUGCUAAUACCGCAUAACAACUUUAAACAUAAGUUUUAAGUUUGAAAGAUGCAAUUGCAUCACUCAAAGAUGAUCCCGCGUUGUAUUAGCUAGUUGGUGAGGUAAAGGCUCACCAAGGCGAUGAUACAUAGCCGACCUGAGAGGGUGAGCGGCCACAUUGGGACUGAGACACGCCCCAAACGCCUACGGGAGGCAGCAGGAGGGAAUCGUCGGCAAGGGACGAAAGUCUGACCGAGCAACGCGGCGGGAGUGAGGAAGGGUGUCGGAUCGUAAAACUCGGUUGGUAGAGAAGAACGUUGGUGAGAGUGGAAAGCUCAUUAAGUGACGGUAACUACUCAGAAAGGGACGGCUAACUACGUG
rnacentral:rRNA from 1 species